GACGAACGCUGGCGGCGUGCUUAACACAUGCAAGUCGAACGGAAAGGCCCUGCUUUUGUGGGGUGCUCGAGUGGCGAACGGGUGAGUAACACGUGAGUAACCUGCCCUUGACUUUGGGAUAACUUCAGGAAACUGGGGCUAAUACCGGAUAGGAGCUCCUGCUGCAUGGUGGGGGUUGGAAAGUUUCGGCGGUUGGGGAUGGACUCGCGGCUUAUCAGCUUGUUGGUGGGGUAGUGGCUUACCAAGGCUUUGACGGGUAGCCGGCCUGAGAGGGUGACCGGCCACAUUGGGACUGAGAUACGGCCCAGACUCCUACGGGAGGCAGCAGUGGGGAAUGGUGCACAAUGGGCGGAAGCCGGAUGCAGCAACGCCGCGUGCGAGAUGACGGCCGUCGGGUUGUAAACCGCUUUCGCCUGUGACGAAGCGUGAGUGACGGUAAUGGGUAAAGAAGGACCGGCUAACUACGUG
rnacentral:rRNA from 1 species